CCUCAGCCUCCCGAGUAGCUGAGACUACAGGCACCCGCCACCACGCCGGCUAAUUUUUUGUAUUUUUAGUAGAGAUGGGGUUUCCCUGUGUUAGCCAGCAUGGUCUGGAUCUGACCUCGUUAUCUGCCCGCCUCGGCCUCCCAAAGUGCUGGGAUUACAGGCAUGAGUCACUGUGCCUGGCCUCUUUAUUUUCUUUAUUGCAAUUGGAUUGAAUGAAACCCGUCAUGAAUGUUGUGUAUGUUUUUUCUCUUCCUGAAAUUUUGAAGUGACAAUGUUGACAUUUGCUUUUGGUGCAACUUCACAAGAUAUGGAAAUUCUCAGAUAGUCUUUUUUGAAAGACUCAUGGACUAAAUAACUAAGGAUUACAACACUCAAAGUUUAUUUUGCUUAAGGUUAUAAAGGCUAGUUCACCAAACAAUUCUACUAAGACUAGAAUUAUGAUAUGGUAACUAUUAUUUUGUCUUAUAUUAUCGUUUAAAUUUUCAUAAAUGUUUCAUGGCCUAAAAAGGCUGUAAUAUUUUCCCUAAGGUUUCUAGCUCAGAGUCAUUCAGUGUGGGUCCUCAGGCUAGUAGCAUUACCAAAACACUGGAGUUUGUUAGAAAGACAAAUUCUUGGGCCAGUCCAGAGACCCAUUGAAUGAGAACAUUUGGAAGACAGGUUCCUGGAAUCUGUAUUUUAAUCAGCUCUCCAAUGAUUUUGAGUGUCCGUAAGUUUGAGAAGCACUGAUCUAGCCAACACACACUCCUGAUAAUUGCAUAGUUGUCCAUCUACUUUUUAUAUCACCAUUUGAAAGUUCCAAACUGUUUUGGUACAUAGAUCAUCAUUAAAUAUUACAGCAUUUUAAAUCUUGAGACAAACAUUUCAACACAUAGAGACACACGGAGAUUUUUCACUUUUUUUUUUUUUUUUUUUGAGAUGGAGUCUUGCUCUGUCG
rnacentral:lncRNA from 10 species